CCUCCCCAGUAGCUGGGACUACAGGAGCCCGCCACCUCGCCCGGCUAAUUUUUUGUAUUUUUAGUAGAGACGGGGUUUCACCGUGUUAGCCAGGAUGGUCUUGAUCUCCUGACCUCGUGAUCCGCGCGCCUCGGUCUCCCAAAAUGCUGGGAUUACAGGCGUGUGCCACCGCGCCUGGCCUCAUCUCUUAAUUCGAGUAAUUUUACAUAAGCAACAAUGGGGUAAGGAGGAGAAAAGAAAGAAGGAAAAAUUGGAAAGAUAAAUGGGGUCUUUCCAGUGAAGCCUCCAGGCCUCCAGACUGGAACUUAUACCACUGAUUCUUCUGAAUCUUAGGCCUUUGGACUUGGACUGGAACUAAACCAUCAGCUCUUCUUGUUCUACCACUUGCAGACUGUAUGUCUUGGGACAUGUCAGCCUCUGUAAUCACGCUCAAUUUUCCUACAUAAUUAAGAGUUUGGAAUUCGGGCAAUAUCAAGAACCACAUCUGUCCUGAAAUCAAUUAUCUCUGUUUGAAACACAAGAAAUAAGAAGACCAUUUUGAGAAGAACAGAGAGUAGCCUUAAGAAAAUCCCUGUCGCAAGCACUCUGGGAUUUGGACUCAAAUGCUAAUUAUACAGAACCACUUGGGUGCCCAGCUGCUGUCCAUUCUCUACACUUAUCCCACCUGAUGGAAGGCUGUUAAGAAAAACAUCACUGCAAUGCCUAAUAAACAGACAUGGGUCCCAGACCCAAUAAGAGUGAAACCAUCCCCCUAUUUAAAUGAAAUUAUGGCUGAUGAGAAAGACAAAUUAAUUUCUCUGUCCCUAGUAUUACACAAAACUUUGGAUGCUGCCAUUGUUACAAUUUUAUUUUCCCCAGGAGCUCAGAGUCCCACCUUCAUUCUUUUUGUUUAAUGCUUAAGCUUGCCUGUCCACCUAUGGAAGACUAGAAUGAGCAAAGACCAUGUAUUCAAUGAUCUGUAAAUCUAACAGGAAACAAUAUAAUAAAUAUAUUGUGUUUGCUAACCAAAUCUGUGAAUGAUUAGAUCGACUGGUUAAUGAUUAGAUGGAUUAACACAUCAUUUCUAUUUUCUCUCUCCUCCCCUACUUCUUGUUUUAAUGAUACCUUCCAAGUUUUAUUUCUCCAAGCCUAACCCCUUACAUAAUACAAGAGGACAACAGUUUGCAAAAUAAAUAUCUGUUGGCCCUAACUGGUAAAUACUGAAAUAGAUUUCAAGUAAUGUGAGUGUUUUUGAAACCACCUAAAUCUGUAAGCCACCCUGCAAGGAACAAGGGUAGCAAAGUGAAUAAGCCAGACAUGUAAAAAUAAAGAUGACAAAAUGGAAGGCAAUUAAUGCCUGUAAUGGAGGUGGGGAAGGGGGGAAUGACAAGUUAAUAAGAAAUUUAUUUUUAAAUGCUAUCAUCUGCCAUAAAAUAUCCAUGCUUAUUUUAGAAAAUAUGUAAAAUGUUUAAGAAUUAAACAUCUUUAAAAAAAUCACAUGAACUCAUCACCCUGCAACAAAACACACACAGAUGAGUGCACACACUUAAACACACAUUAAUUUUCAAUUAGUAUAUAAAGUUAAUAUCCUGCUAAGUACAAGAUACUAUAUCAUGAGCACUUUGUCUC
rnacentral:lncRNA from 1 species